rnacentral:lncRNA from 1 species
UCCGCAAGUCAGCCCUUCCUAUUCAAAAGCUAAGUUCUACUUCCUUAUCUCCGGUGAUGUGCAGUUGAUAUGGAUGCGAACUGAAUUUAGUACUUGAGACAGCAAAUUACCUUGAAGGUUUUCAAGCAGAUGGGUUGUUGUUGGGGUUGAAUGUAUUGUAGGAUAAUUGUAAUGAAUUGAAUGUGCCAUGUUGAAACGAAUGGACAAGACUUGAACUGAAAUUAGCAAAGUUUAAGGACAGAGCUUAUCUUACAGUUGUUUGGUUAGAUUGAUGUAUUGUUCGUUGUAGUUGAUUACUCCAUAAAACAGGUGAUUUUCUCUACAAUGGAGCCUAGAGAGA